rnacentral:tRNA from 1 species
GGGGCAUUAGCUCAGUUGGUAGAGCAACUCCCUUUUAAGGAGGAGGUCCUGGGUUCGAGCCCCGGAUGCCCCACCA